rnacentral:snRNA from 1 species
GGGUAUGAGGGAGAUCUGGCUGUGACAUCUGUCACCCCUUUAAUCGCCAGGGUUGAUUCAGCUGAUCUGGCUGGCUAGGCGGGGGUCCCCUUCUUCCCUCACCCCUCCAAGUGUGACUCUCACGACCUUCCCAAAAUAGUGGAGGACCAGUCUUCAGUCAAGGGUAUAUGAGGAGCUGUGCUUCCCUGCUAGAACCUCCAAAUAAGCUCUCAUAAAAUAAAAAGAAGACAUUGGGGUCUGGGGACGUAGCUCUGUGGUAGAGCACUUGU